GCAGGUGUUUAUGUGUGUGUGUUCAGGUAUGUGGGCACAUGUGUUUGUGUGUGUGCGCUUGUGUAAAGUGCUUGCGUGUGUGUGUUUAUCUCUAUGUGUAUUAUUUCUUAUUUUUUAGUAAAACUUUGUUUGUGUACAUGGGCAUUGUGCAUGCGUGUGUGUGCAUGUGUGCUUGUGUGUGUGUUUAUGCAUUUAAGUUUGCGUGUGUAUGUGUGUGUGUGUUUGAGUGUGUAGGUUGUGGGAUUUGCUCAUUCUUAUGGAUAUGCCACUAAUACCGUUGCAGAGUGUCGGGCUUUUCUUAAUGGUUCAAAAUUGUGUCACCAACUUGGUCUUAAAGAUUUUUUUAUUGAAUCUGAUUCAACGAUUAUAGUUGGUUGGUUUAGGUCGAGUGUAUGUAAGUUUUGGUAUUUAUGAGAUUUUUGGAAAGAAGCUCUUCAUUUGUUUCAGCUGAUGAAUGUUAGAGUUUGUCAUAUCUUUUAUGAAGCUAAUAUGGUUGCGGAUUUCCUCUCCAAAGGUGCAAAGGGUCGGACUUUAGAUUUUAUGGGUGAGGAGUUUAGAGAGAGACGGUUUUGUGGCCUUGUUCGAACUGAUAAAUGGGGUCUUCCAUACAUUAGGCAUUAAUGCUUGUAUUUAUGGCUUGUCUCCACCUUAAUGAGGUUAUUAAUAAAUAUGGAGCUCUUGCCUCUUAUUAAAAAAAAAAAGAAGAAGUUGUGUGUGGAUGUGCGUGCAUGUGUAUAUAGUUGUGCGUGUGCGUGUAUGUGUGCAAGUGUUCGUUUGAGUGUAUGUAGGUGUGCAGAUGUGCACGUGUUCGUGCAAUUUUUAGUGUGCAGAUGCGUACAUGCAUGUGUUUGGGUGUGCGCACGUGUUUGUGUGUGUGGGUUUGUGUGUGGUGCUUACAUGCGCUUGUGCAUGUGUGUGAACAGGUGUGCAUGUGUGUAUGGUUUUGGUGGAAGUUGUACAUUUUUACAAGCAUGCAAAGGUGGGUGGUUGGGUGUGUAUAUUUGGUGCACAUGUGCAUGCAUGGUAUUGGUUGAAGUUGUACAAGUUUUUCAAAAAUGCAAUGGUGAGUGGGUGUGGGUGGGUGCAGGCUUACAGGUGUGCGUGUCUAUGGGCGUUUGCCCGUGCGUGUGUACAUGUGGGUGAAUCUGUGCACUUAUGUACACAUAUGUAGUAUUGACUGAAGCUGUGCUGUUCCAAAAGCAUACAAAUGUAUAUUGUUAACUUUUAAGUAAUUGUCUCUCACUUUAAAUCUUGCAAUUUGUUUAUGUGUUUAUUUUUUCUUAUUUUUAGUAGAGCUCUAUUUAAGUUUGCAUGCCCGCGCAUGUGUCAGUAUUUAUAUGGAUAGGUGGGUGGCUUGGUGUGCAAGUUUAAGUGUGUAUAUUUGGUGCACAUGUGCAUGCUCGAUAUUGGUUGAAGCAAUACAAGUUCUUCAAACAAGUAAAGGUGAGUGCAUGUGGGUGCAGGCUUCUAGGUAAGCGUGCUCAUGGGCGAAUAUGCGUGUGUGAGUUUGUGCACUUCUUUAUGUGUGUUUGGUAUUGAUUGAAGCUUUAAUGUUCCACAAGCAUGCAAAUGUAUAUUCUUUCUUGCUUUUGAGUAAGUGUCUCUCGUUUUAGAUCUCACAAUUUAUUUAUGUACUUAUUGUUUCUAAGUUUUGAGUAUAGUUUUAUUUGUGUGCAUGUGUAUUGUGCAUGAGAGUGUGCACGCGUGUAUGCUUGUGUGUUUGGGUUUGUGCAAGUGUAUGUGUGUGGUGUGUGUUUUGGUGUGUGCAUGUUCAUGCGUGGAUGAGCAAGUGUGCGUGCAUUGCGUGUGUUUGGAUGUGUGGGGUUUGAACGCUUGUAUGCGUGUGCAGUAGGGAUUGUGUGUGUGUGUGUGUUUGGGUGAGUGGAUUUGUGUGCGGGUGUGAGUGCAUAAGGGUUUGUUUGCGGGUACGUGUGUGUGUGGGUUAUUAGAUGCAUUUGUGUGGUAUUAUCUGAAACCGUGGAUUUCUACAAGCAUACAAGGGUGUUGUUUCUACUUUUGAGUAAAUGUCUCUUGCCCUCAAAUUCGCUAUUUGUCUCUAUGCGAAUUGUUUCUUAUUUUUAGUAUAGUUUUGUUUGUAUGCAUGGGCAUCAUGCUUGCGGGUGUGCAUAUGUGCUUGUGUGUGUGUUUGUGCGUUUGAGUGUGUGUGUGCGUUGUGUGUGCAGAUGUGCGUACGUGCUUGUGUAUCUAGAUGUGUGUGUGCAUGUAUGUGUGCAAGUGUGCGAUUGAAUGUAUAUUUGUGCUCGGGUGUGUAGGUGAAUGCAUAUGUGCUUGUGUUUGUGCAUAUUUGAGUGUGUGUGGGUGCGUGCGCUUGUGCAUGCAUAUGUGAGCAGGUGUGCAUGUGUGUGUGGUAUUGGUUAAAGCUGUGCAUUUUUACAAGCAUGCGAAUGUGGUGUCUCUUACUUAUAAGUAAAUGUUUCACUCUCAAUCUUUCUAUUCGUCUAGUGCAUAUUGUUUUAUAUUUUUUUAGUAAAACUUUGUUUGUGUGUGCAUGCGAGCGCAUUUGUAUGUUUAUGUGCACAGGUGGGUGGUUGGGUGUGUAUAUUUGGUGCACAUGUGCAUGCAUUGUAUUUGUUGAAGUUGUACAAGUUUUUCAAGCAUGCAAAGGUAUCGUUUCUAACUUUUCAAUACAACUCUAUCACUUGCUCUCUCUAUUUGUGUCUCUGUGUGUAUAUUUGUAUUCUUCAUUCUUAGCAUUCAGUAUAUGUGCGUUUGUGCAUGAUCCAGUGAUUAUGGGUGUGGGUGGGUGAAGGCUUGCGGGUGAGCAUGCUUGGGUGUGCAUAUGUGCUUGUGUGUGCAUUUUUGCAUUUGAGUGUGCGUGUGUGUAAGGUGUGUUUAGAUGUGCGUGCAUGUGUGCGUAUGUAUAUAGUUGUGUGUGUAUGUGUGCAGGUGUGUGUUUCUGUGUAUGUUGGUGUGUGGGUGUGUGCAAAUGUGCGUGCGUGUGUGCAUUUUUUAGUGUGUUUAGGUGUGUGCAUGCCCGUGUUUGUGUGCAGUGCUUGCAUGCGUGUGUGGUAUUGGGUGAAGCUAUACAAUUUUACAAGCAUGCAAAUGUGGUGUUUCUUAUUUUGGAGUAAAUAUCUCUCACUUUUAAUCUCUUUAUUCAUUUUGUGCAUAUUGUUUCAUAUUUUCUUAGUAGAGCUCAUUUUGUGUGUGCAUGCUCAUACACGUGUGUGUUUUUGUGUGCAGGUGGGUGGUUGGGUGUGUAUAUUUGAUUCACACGUGCAUGCAUGGUAUUAAUUGAAACUGUACAAGUUCUUUAAGUAUGCAAAGUAACCAUUUCUAACUUUUCAAUACAACUUUCUCACUCUUACUCUUUAUUUGUGUCUCUAUGUGCAUAUUUGUACUCUUCAUCCUAAGUAGGACUUAGUAUAUGUGCGUUUGUACAUGUGCGGGUUAGUGUGGGUGUGGGUGGGUGCAGGCUUGCAGGUGAGCAUGUCCGAGGGUGCUACUCGUGCAUCUGUGGAGAUGGGUGUGUGCGCGCUCUUAUGUCCGUGUGUGUAGUAUUCAUUGAAGCUAUGUAAUUCUACAAGCAUGCAAAUGUAUGUUGUUUCUUGCUUUGAGUAAGUGUCUCUCACUUUAAAUCUUGCAAUUUGUCUCUGUGCGUAUUAUUUUUUAUUUUUUAGUAGAGCUUUAUUCGAGCUUGCAUUUGCACGGGCGUGUGUUGGUGUUAAAGUAGGCAGGUGAGUGGCUGGGUGUGUAGAUUUGGUGCACACGUGCAUGCUUGGUAUUGUUUGAAGCAGUACAAAUUCUUCAAAUAUGCAAAUGUACCAUUUCUAACUUUUGAAUAUCCCUCUCUCACUCACUCUCUUUAUUUGUGUCUCGACGUGUAUAUUUAUAUUCUUCCUUUUGAGUCAGACUCAAUUAAUUUGUGUCUGUGGAUGUGCAAUUGGGUGCAUGCUUAUUGGUGAUCGUGUUUGUGGGCAUCUAUGCCUAGGUGCGUUUGUGCACUUCUGUAUGUAUGUCUGAUAUUGAUUGAAGCUUUAAUGUUCUACAAGCAUACAAUUGUAUAUUAUUUCUCGCUCUUAAGUGUCUCUCGCUUUAGAUCUCACAAUUUGUCUAUGUGCAUAUUAUUUCUAAGUUUUUAGUAGAAUUUUGUUUGUGUGCAUGUGCAUCAUGCGUGCGAGUGUGCAUGCAUGUGUGCUUGUGUGUUUGGUUUUUUACGGUGUACGUGCAUGCGUGCAUGGGUGUGUUUCAUGUGAUUGCAUGUGCAAGUGCAUGUGUGUGUGUGUGUGUGUGUAAAGGUGUGCAUGCGUGGGUGUAUGUUUUGGUGUGUGGCUGUGUGCUUGUGUGUGUUAGUGUGUUUGGGUGUGCUUGUGUAUUUGUAUCUCUCUACAUAUUGUUUCUUAUUUUUUAGGAAAGCUUUGUUUGUGUGCAUGAGCAUCUGCAUGCAUGUCUGCAUAUGUGCUUGUUUGUGUGUUUGUGCAUUUGGGUAUGCGUCUGUAUGCAUGUGCAUGUGUGCCCUUGUGUGUGUUUGGGUUUGUGUGCAUGUGUGCUUGUGUGUGUUUGUGUUUUAGUGUGCAUAUGUGCUUGUGUUUUUGGGUGUGCGUGCGUGAUUGUGUAUAUAGUUGUUCGUGUGUGUUUGCAUGUAUGUGGAUGUUUGGGUGUUUUGGUGUGUGUGUUUGGGUUUGUGUGUGAGCUUGUGUGUGUGUUUGUGUUUGUAUGCUUGUGUGUGUAUUUGGUUGUGCAUGUGUGCUUAUGUGUGUGUUUGGGUGUGUACAAAUGUGCGUGUGUGCGUAUUCGUGUAUGUGUGCAGGUGUGCGUGCCUGCAUGCAUUUUUUAGUCUAGUCUGCAUACAUGCAUGUAAAGAGGUGUGCGUGCGCAUGUUUGUGUAUGGGGUUUGUGUGCGGUGCUUGUGUGCGCUUGUGUAUGCGUGUGAGUAGGUGUGUGUGUGGUAUUGGUUGGAGCUGUACAUUUUUACAAAUGUGCAAAGGUGGUGUUUCUUGCUUAUGAGUAAAUAUCUCACUCUAAAUCUCACUAUUCGUCUUGUGCGUAUUGUUUGAUAUUUUCUUAGUAGAGCUCUGUUUGUGUGUGCAUGUACUCGUGCAUGUGUGUUUAUGUGCGUAGGUGGGUGGCUCGAUGUAUAUACUUGGUGCACAUGUGCAUGCACGGUAUUGGUUGAAGCUAUACAUAUUUUUAAAGCAUGUAAAGGUACCGUUUCUGACUUUCCAAUACAAUUCUAUCGCUCACUCUCUAUUUUUCUCUGUGGAUAUAUUUUUACUCUUCCUUCUUAGUAGGACUCAGUAUAUGUGCGUUUGUGCAUAUGCGGUUGAGUGUGGAGAUGGGUGGGUGGUUGCAAGCCCUCAAGUGAGCGUGUCCGUGGGCGUCUGCCUGUGCAUGUGUGCAGGUGGGUGUGUGCGUGCACUUGUGUACAUGUGUGUGGUAGUGAUUGAAGCUGUGCAGCUCUACAAGCAUGCAAAUGUAUAUUUUUUUGGCUUUUGAGUAAGUGUCUCACUUUAAAUCUCCCAAUUUGUCUAUGUGUAUAUUGUUUUUUCUUUUUUAGUAGAGCUUUGUUUGAGUUUGCAUGCACACGGGCAUGUGUCAGUGUUUAUGUGGGCAGUUAGGGGUGAGAUUUGGCUCGUUUGGACCGACAAAACCGACCGAACCAACCAUUUUUUCACCGGACCGAACCGAUUCGGUCCAAAUUUCAAUGGACCGAACUCGUUCGGUCCAAUCCUGGUCUAGGGGUUUUUCACCCUAGGCCAGGAGUUUGGUCCAAUCCAAGUGAGAAAACCCUGGAUCUAAUAGGUACGGUCUAGUCUACAAAACCUCACAGGACUGAACUCUCCCUUAUGGGCAGGUGGUUGGUUGGGUGUGCGCGUCUGGGUGUGUAUAUUUGGUGCACAAAUGCAUGCUGGGUAUUGGUUGAAGCAGUACAAGUUCCUCAAACAUACAAAGCUACUAUUUUUAACUUUUUAUAUCCCUCUCUUACUCACUCUCUCUAUUUGUGUCUCGACAUGUAUAUUUGUAUUCUUCCUUUUGAUUCCGACUCAGCAUAUGUGCGUUUGUGCAUGUGCAUGUGAGUGUAAGUGUAAGUGGAUGCAAGCUUGUUGGUGAGCGUGUUUGUGGGCAUUUGUGUGUUUGUGCACUUUUUUACGUGUGUCUGGUAUUGAUUAAAGCUUUAAUGUUCUUACAGAAUGCAAACGUAUAUUGUUUCUUGCUUUUGAGUAAGUAUCUCUCACUUUAGAUUGCAUAAUUUAUCUAUAUGCGUAUUGUUUCUAAGUUUUGAGUAGAACUUUUUUGGUGUGCAUGUGAGUGUGCACAUGUGUGUGCUUGUAUGUUUGGGUUUAUGUAGGUGUGCGUGCAUGCUUGGGUUUGUUGUUGGUGCUUGUAUGUGCGUGUGUGCAAGUGCUCGCCCGCGGGUGUAUGCAUGUGUGUGCAUGUAUAUGUGGGUGAGCAGGUGUGUGUGCGUUGCAUGUGUUUGGGUGUGCACGUUUGUAUGUUGUAUGCAUGUGUGUGCGUGUAUAUGUGGGUGAGCAAGUGUGCAUGCGUUGCGUGUGUUUGGGUGUGCAUGUUUGUAUGCGUGUGCGCAAUGGUGUGUGUGUGUGUGUGUGUGUGCGAGUGUGGGUGCAGGUGUGCGAGGGUUUGUUUCCAAGUACACGUGCGUGUGGGUUCGUCGAUGUGCUUGUGUGCAUGUGUGUGAGGUAUUGUUUGAAACUGUACAUGUCUACAAGCAUACGUGGGUGCUGUUUCUCCUUUUGAAUUAAUGUCUCUUACUCUCAAAUUCGCUAUUUGUCUCUUUGCAUAUUGUUUCCUAUUUUUGUGUAAAACUAUGUUUGUGUGCAUGUGGGUGUGUGGAUGUGUGCAUGUGUGUUUUGUUAUGUGCGCGUGUGUAUGUGUUUGAUGUGCAUGUGUGCAAGGUGUGUGUGUAUAGUUGUGCGUGUGUGCAUGCAUUUUUUUAGUGUGUGCACGGUUGUGUACAUGCGUUUUUUAAGGUGUGCUCGCACGCGUGUUUGUGUAAUGUGCUUGCACGUGCGUGUCUUUAUGCAUACUAUUUCUUAUUUUUUAAUAAAGCUUUGUUUGUGUACGCGUACGCGCAUGUGUUGGGGUCGGUGCACGUAUGUGUUUGUGUGUAUGGGUUUGUGUGUGGUGCUUAUGUGUGCUUGUGCAUGCAUGUGUAGCUAGUGUGUAUGUGUGUGUGGUAUUGGUUAAAGUUGUACAUUUUUGCAAGCAUAUAAAGGUGCAUAUAUGUGUGCAUGCAUGUGUGUCUUUAUGCGUACUAUUUCUUAUUUCUUAAUAAAGCUUUGUUUGUGUGCAUGGGCAUCGUGCAUGCAGCUGUGCAUGUGUGUCUGCGUGUGUGCUUGUGUGUGUAAAUGUGUAUUUAGGUAUGCAUGUGUAUGUGUGCUUAUGUGUGUGUGUUUGGAUAUGCGUGCAGGAUGUGUGCAGAUGUGCAUGCAUGUGCAUGUAUGUGUGCAUGUGUAUGUUUGCGUGUAUGUAGGUGUUUAGGUUUUGGGUGUGUGCAAAUGUGCAUGUGUGUGCAUUUUUUAGUGUGUGUGAGUGCGUACGUGCAUGUGUUGGGGUCGGUGCACGUACGUGUUUGUGUGUAUGGGUUUGUGUGUGGUGCUUAUGUAUGCUUGUGCAUGCAUCUAUGGCUAGUGUGCAUGUGUGUCUGGUAUUGGUUAAAGUUGUACAUUUUUACAAGCAUGCAAAGGUGCAUAUAUGUGUGCAGAUGUGCAAUUGUGUGUAUGUAGGUGUUUGGGCGUGUGCAGAUGUUCAUUUUUUAGUGUGUGCACGUGUGUACAUGCAUGUGUUUAGGUAUGCGCGCUCACAUGUUUGUGUGUGCAAAUUUGUGUAAGCGCUUGCAUGUGCGUGUCUCUAUGCAUAUUUUUUCUUAUUUUUUAGUAAAAUUUUGUUUGUGUGCAUGAGCAUCGUGCAUGCGUGUGUGUGCAUGUGUGCUUUUGUGUGUGUUUGUGCAUUUGGGUGUGCAUGCGUGUGCUUGUCUCUGUGUGUGUGUGUGCAAGUUGUGUGCAGAUUUGCAUGUGUAUAUAGCUAUGCAUGUGCAUGUAUGUGUGCACAUAGUUGUGCGUGCAUUUUUUUAGUGUGUGCACGGUUGCAUACAUGCGUUUGUUUAGGUGUGUAAUAAAACUUUGUUUGUGUGCAUGGGCAUCGUGCAUGCAGGUGUGCUUGUGUGUGUAAAUGUGCAUUUAGUUAUGCGUGUGUAUGUGUGCUUAUGUGUGUGUGUGUUUGGAUAUGCAUGUGUGCAAAAUGUGUGCAGAUGUGCAUGCAUGCGUGUGUAUAUAGUUGUGCAUGUGCGUGUAUGUGUGCAGGUGUGCAUUUGCGUGUAUGUAGGUGUUUGGGUUUUGGGUGCGUGCAGAUGUGCGUGUGUGUGCAUUUUUUAGUGUGUGUGCGAGUGCGUACGUGCGUGUAUUGGGGUGUGCGCAUGUACAUGUUUGUGUGUAUGGGUUUGUGUGCGGUGCUUAUGUGCGCUUGUGCAUGCAUGUGUGGCUAGUGUACAUGUGUGUGUGGUAUUGGUUAAAGGUCUACAUUUUUACAAGCAUGCAAAGAUGCAUAUAUGUGUGCAGAUGUGCGAUUGUGUGUAUGUACGUGUUUGGGCAUGUGCAUAUGUUCAUUUUUUAGUGUGUGCAUGUGUGUACAUGCAUGUGUUUAGGUAUGCGCGCUCACAUGUUUGUAUGCGGAUUUGUGUUAGGUGCUCGCAUGUGCAUGUGUCUCUAUGCAUAUUUUUUCUUAUUUUUUAGUAAAAUUUUAUUUGUGUGCAUGGGCAUCGUGCAUGCGUGUGUGUGCAUGUGUGCUUGUGUGUGUUUGUGCAUUUGGGUGUGCGUGUAUGUGUGUGCAUGUGUGCUUGUGCUUGUGUGUGUGUAUGCAAGUUGUGUGCAGAUUUGCAUGCGUGUAUAUAGCUAUGUGUGUGCAUAUAGUUGUGCGUGUGUGCAUACAUUUUUUUAGUGUGUGCACGAUUUCGUACAUGCAUUUGUUUAUGUGUGCUCGCGUGCAUGUUUGUGUGUAUGGGUUUGUGUACGGUGCUUGUGCGUGCGUGUCUUUAUAUGUACUAUUUCUUAUUUUUCUAAUAAAGCUUUGUUUAUAUGCAUGGGCAUCAUGCAUGCAGGUGUGCAUGUGUAUCUGCAUGUGUGCUUGUGUGUGUAAAUGUGCAUUUAGGUAUGCAUGUGUAUGUGUGCUUAUGUGUGUGUGUGUUUGGAUAUGCGUGUGUGCAGGGUAUGUGCAGAUGUGCAUGCAUGCUUGUGUAUAUAGUUGUGCAUCUGCGUGUAUGUGUGCAAGUGUACGUUUGCGUGUAUGUAGGUGUUUGGGUUUUGGGUGUGUGCAGAUGUGUGUGUAUGCGCAUUUUUUAGUGUGUGUGCGAGUGCAUGCAUGCAUGUAUUGGGGUGUGUGCACAUACGUGUUUGUGUGCGAUGCUUAUGUGCGCUUGUGCAUAUGUGUGUGGUAUUGGUUGAAAUUAUACAUUUUUACAAUCAUGCAAAGGUACAUAUAUAUAUAUAUAUGUGCAAAUGUGCGAUUGUGUCUAUGUAGGUGUUUGGGCAUGUGCAAAUGUUUAUUUUUUAGUGUGUGCACGUGUGUACAUGCAUGUGUUUAGAUAUGCACGCUCACAUGUUUUUGUGUGCAGAUUUGUGUAAAGUGCUUGCAUGUAUGCGUCUCUAUGCAUAUUUUUUCUCAUGUGUUAGUAAAAUUUUGUUUGUGUGCAUGGGCAUCAUGCAUGCGUGUGUGUGCAUGUGUGCUUCUGUGUGUGUUUGUGCAUUUAGGUGUGUGUGUGCGUAUGUGUGUGCAUGCGUGCAUGUGUGUGUGCACGCAAGUUGUGCAGAUUUGCGUACGUGUAUAUAGCUAUUACGCGUGUGCAUGUAUGUGUGCAAGUGUUCAUUUGCGUGUAAGUAGGUGUUUGGGUGUGUGCAAAUGUGUGUGUGCCUGCAUUUUUUAGUGUGUGUGUAGGUGCGUACAUUCGUGCUGAUUGAAGCUAUGCAAUUCUACAAACAAGCAAAUAUAUAUUGUUUCUUGCUUUUAAGUAAGUGUCUCUCACUUUAAAUCUUGUAAUUUUUUUGUAUGUAUUGUUUCUUAUUUUGUAGUAGAGCAUAUUAUAUAUAUCAAGAUAAAUAUAUUUUUGACAUAAUAAAUUAUAAUAUAUAUUUUUUUUAUAAAUAUAUUUUUAUAUAUUUAAUCAUAUAUUCUCAACUUAUAUAGUGUCCAAUGUGUAAUCAGUAAAUCAAAAAAAUCAGGUCAAAUUGGAUCGAAACUAAAAAAAAUUGAAAGUUUCGAUUUUGGUAAUGAAUUGAUCUAUAUCGAUUUUUAAAUUUUCAAGAUCGGUGUAUAUCAAUUCAAUUAUAAAAUUUGUCAAAAAUCAGACUGAAUGGACUAGUUACACCCCCAACACCAACAAAUGAUUUAAUGCCAACGCAGAAUUAUCUUUUUCUUGGAACAAUAGUAAAGUUGGAAGCUUCAAAGAGAACAAUAGUAAAGUUGGGAACAUUGAUGACAACAUUGGUUCCUUGUCCGUAGAACUCUCUGAAGAUGAUCUCAAAGAAAUUUGUGAGGCAGUGCGCUUUCUCAAUUUUCUUGGAAAUUUGCAAAUAACCCCAUCAAAAUAAAAUAUUUGCCAAUUUAUUUAUGCUUU